GACGAACGCUGGCGGCGUGCUUAACACAUGCAAGUCGAACGGAAAGGCCCUGCUUUUGUGGGGUGCUCGAGUGGCGAACGGGUGAGUAACACGUGAGUAACCUGCCCUUGACUUUGGGAUAACUUCAGGAAACUGGGGCUAAUACCGGAUAGGAGCUCCUGCUGCAUGGUGGGGGUUGGAAAGUUUCGGCGGUUGGGGAUGGACUCGCGGCUUAUCAGCUUGUUGGUGGGGUAGUGGCUUACUAAGGCUUUGAAGGGUAGCCGGCCUGAGAGGGUGACCGGCCACAUUGGGACUGAGAUACGGCCCAGACUCCUACGGGAGGCAGCAGUGGGGAAUAUUGCACAAUGGGCGGAAGCCUGAUGCAGCAACGCCGCGUGCGGGAUGACGGCCUUCGGGUUGUAAACCGCUUUCACCUGUGACGAAGCGUGAGUGACGGUAAUGGGUAAAGAAGCACCGGCUAACUACGUG
rnacentral:rRNA from 1 species